rnacentral:rRNA from 1 species
AAAACACUGACGAACGCUGGCGGCGUGCUUAACACAUGCAAGUCGAACGGAUUGCGCCUGCUUUUGUGGGUGUGGUUAGUGGCGAACGGGUGAGUAACACGUGAGUAACCUGCCCCCUUCUUUGGGAUAAGCUCCUGAAAGGGUGUCUAAUACUGAUUAUUCUGCUGGUCUCGCAUGGGGCUGGUUGGAAAGCUUUUGUGGUUGGGGAUGGGCUCGCGGCUUAUCAGCUUGUUGGUGGGGUAAUGGCUUACCAAGGCUUUGACGGGUAGCCGGCCUGAGAGGGUGGUCGGUCACAUUGGGACUGAGAUACGGCCCAG